UAAGCGGAGGAAAAGAAACCAACAGGGAUUGCCCUAGUAACGGCGAGUGAAGCGGCAACAGCUCAAAUUUGAAAUCUGGCGCAAGCCCGAGUUGUAAUUUGUAGAGGAUGCUUCUAGGUAGCGACCGGUCUAAGUUCCUUGGAACAGGACGUCAUAGAGGGUGAGAAUCCCGUAUGUGACCGGCCCGCGCCUUCCACGUAGCUCCUUCGACGAGUCGAGUUGUUUGGGAAUGCAGCUCUAAAUGGGAGGUAAAUUUCUUCUAAAGCUAAAUACCGGCCAGAGACCGAUAGCGCACAAGUAGAGUGAUCGAAAGAUGAAAAGCACUUUGGAAAGAGAGUUAAAAAGCACGUGAAAUUGUUGAAAGGGAAGCGCUCACAACCAGACUUCUGGGCGGUGUUCCGCCGGUCUUCUGACCGGUCUACUCGCCGUCCCGAGGCCAACAUCAUCUGGGACCGCCGGAUAAGACCUCAGGAAUGUGGCUCCCCUCGGGGAGUGUUAUAGCCUGUGGUGAUGCGGCGCGUCUCGGGUGAGGUCCGCGCUUCGGCAAGGAUGUUGGCGUAAUGGUUGUCAGCGGCCCGUCUUGAAACACGGACCAAGGAGUCUAACAUCUAUGCGAGUGUUCGGGUGUCAAACCCCUACGCGUAAUGAAAGUGAACGGAGGUGGGAAGGGUAACCUGCACCAUCGACCGAUCCUGAUGUCCUCGGAUGGAUUUGAGUAAGAGCAUAGCUGUUGGGACCCGAAAGAUGGUGAACUAUGCCUGAAUAGGGUGAAGCCAGAGGAAACUCUGGUGGAGGCUCGCAGCGGUUCUGACGUGCAAAUCGAUCGUCAAAUUUGGGUAUAGGGGCGAAAGACUAAUCGAACCAU
rnacentral:rRNA from 1 species